GACGAACGCUGGCGGCGUGCUUAACACAUGCAAGUCAAGGGGGCGGAGCAAUCCGCAACCGGCGAACGGGUGCGUAACACGUGAGCAAUCUGCCGAUUUCUGGGGGGAUAGCCGGCCCAAACGGCCGGGUAAUACCGCAUACGCUCAUUUGGGGGAGUCCCCGAGUGAGGAAACCCUCCGGGGGAGAUCGAGGAGCUCGCGGCCUAUCAGCUAGUUGGUGCGGUC
rnacentral:rRNA from 1 species